UGUUAAUUUUUUUCUUAAAUUUUUUUUUAUCAUUUUAAGAAAUCUUUAAAAUUUGUAAUUUUUUUUUUUAAUAAAAAUUUUCGAAUUCCUCUAGUCUAGAAGGGUAUAAAACUUAAGAAAAAAAAAAAAAAAAUCAACUUACCUAAAUUUUCCCAGUGACCAAAAAAAUUAUUCUUGUAAGUAUUUGUCAGACUAUCAAUUUAUACAACUUUAUCUUAAGAAAAUAAAAAAAUAUUAAAAAAAUAAUUAUCAAACUCAACCUUAAAAUGGAUAAUCUUGUGCCCUAGUAGCUAUACAAACGAUACGAAAAAAAAAAAAAAGAAAGAAAAAAAAGAGGAAAAUAUGAAUCUAUCUUUAUGCAGGGUCUAAAAUAGGAAAGGACUAUAAAUAUUUUACAGUCAGCUUAGGCAGUAGUUUAAGUGAUCAUGAGAGAGCAUUUAGAUAGAUUUGAGUCAAUAUUGUAGGCAGUAGUCUGGUAUAAUAAUUAAAACUAUUGACCUACUAAUAUUGUGGCAAUAUAAAUAUAGAUAAAAUCAUGAAUCUAUUGUCAAAUUACGUUUGCAAGUGAAAUAAGAAUAUGCGGUGAAAGUAGAAUAUGCGAUUGCAAGUAAAUUAUUGAGUGUCUUAGAAGCAUGAAAUAACACGUCUCAUGUUAUCUCUCAAUCACUCAGUAUAAAAAAAUAGACCGUAUUACAUUGACCGUUGACAAUUAUAAUGGGAGACCAUUUGGCUGUGCUCAUGAGGUAUGGAAUAAUUGCUUGCAAAUUACAGUUAGAUAACCCUAAUGUUGCAGAAAUUAUCUACUUUUUUGGUUUAAUUUUCAAAAUCUAUAUAUUUAUUUUAAAUAUUAAAUUACUUUGAUGAAAAUAAUUACAAAAAAGGUAUUUUUAGCUUAUAAAAAAGAAAUUCAUAUGAAAAUUGAAAAUAGUAAGCUUUUUUUUCAAAAAAAAAAAAAAUCUUUUUCUUCACCAAACUAAUCUUUUAUUUAAAAAAAAAAAAGAUAUUGAAAAUAAAACCUAACAAAGUCAAG